ensembl:lncRNA novel transcript
UUCCGCGCUUCUGUUUCCCUAGAGGAAGGAAAGAAGUUGAGAAAAUUCAGAGCCAAAUGUAGAUUUUCUCGAGUGCCUCAUUCCCCACAGCGAUCUUGCUGGUAACCGGGAGUGUGUUUUUUCUGCAUCAAAUGCUCAAAUGCGGUCUUCCAAAAUGUUUCCGACUGCGGCAGGAAUUUCAAACGAAAUCCUCGGAGCUAGAAGAAGAGUUACAGAAAAUCGCGAAUUUCCAGGCAACACGCCAGGGAUUUGGGGAAGAGAACAGUAAAACGUAACAGAAAUAGCAGCUUCCUGACACGGUGGAAGUCAUCUGGUGAAGAUUUUUUAUACAUUUUAUAUCGACUUUUUAAUCUCCUAAUUUAUGAGUAAAGUGUUAACCUAAGAAGUAAGAAUGCAUUUUGUAGCUCAUCAUUGUUUAAAUAGAGGCUUUGAAAUUCAGCCCGUCUCGGUGAUUGUAGCCGCCAUUACAAAGUGGCUGCGGGAGGGGUCUGGCCUCUGCUCAGCCACUCACUGCUGUGUGAUCUUGGGCAGAGCACUUGAUGUCUCUGAGCCCGUCUCCUGAAGCCCAAAGCCAGGCUGUAAUAUCUGUGUCGGCUGUUCCGUGAGGAAAGAUGCCUCAUCUCUAGCUCUUCCUCAAGGCUAUGAAUAUAAUCAAAGGCGGAUGCUCAGGGCUGUGAAUAAGAGUUCAGUGACGCAGCGUUUUAUCCAGUGCAUUCCUCUUCCCAGGCGUCUGUGACAUCGUCUUACCGACCAGCUGCCCCACUCUGGGACAUUUACAUCGCUUUGCAGUGGCCGCACUGACGGUCGACAGCUGCGCCAGGACUUAAGGCUCCAGCCUGGUCCCCUCCUUGCUUCCCAGCACUGCCUGGUCAAAUGGUGGAGGACAAAGUGGAGGCAGAAGACGGAGGCGCAGCUGACACGUGGACUAAGGGCUCUCCAGGCAUUCCGACUUCUGAAGAGGUGGCUGACAGCCUGAGCUCCAUGGAAAGGUUGGGAUAAAGAGCCUGUGUGAUUGUCUACUCCAAAUUCAUGACUUUACAGAUGGGCUUCAGCCAAUGGUUUGGGUCCCAAGCUGUUGUUAUUAUUAUUAUUAUUAUUAUCAUUAUCAUUUAAGACAGUCUCGCUCUGUCACCCAGGCUGGAGUGCAGUGGUGCGAUCUUGGCUCACUGCAGCCUCCGCCUCCCGGGUUCAAGUGAUUCUCCUGCCUCAGCCUCCCGAGUAGCUGGGAUUACAGGUGCCUGCCACCAGGCCCGGCUAAUUUUUUUGUAUUUUUAGUAGAAACGGGGUUUCACCAUGUUGGCUAGGCUGGUCUCAAACUCCUGACCUUAAGUGAUCUGCCCGCCUCGGCCUUCCAAAGUGCUGGGAUUACAGGCAUAAGCCACCGUGCCCGGCCCCAAGCUGCUUUUAGAAUGGCUUUUACUUUCUUAUAUGUAAUAGCGAAGAAUUUAAAAAUGUAAAGACAAGCCAGAUGUCAUGUUUGAAGAGGGAAAUUAAUCCCAUAAAGAGCAGCACAUCCAUGUGAUGGGGUAUUAGGAGGCCCUCAAUAGCCAAGGGUUAGCCUUUUUGAUGACAUAGAAAAAUAUGAGAUAUGAUAUUGAGUGAAAAGGGAGGUUAUAAAAUAUCAUGUGUAGUGCAAUCACAAGUGUAUGCACACACGCGGUGGAGAGAGACUGGGUGGACAGCACUAACCCAUUACCAGGGCUGUCUCCUGACUUUUAUCCUUUGGGUAUUUUUUGUGGUUUCCAAAUUUUUCAAUGCACAUUUAUUAUCUUAGGAGCAGGAAAAAACUUAUUUUUGCCAAUGAAAUAAAAAUAAAUUUGGGCCAGGCAUGGUAGCUCACUUCUGUAAUUACAGCACUUUGGGAGUCUGAGGUGGGUGGGUUGCUUGAGCCCAGGAGUUCGAGACCAGUCUAGGCAACAUGUCAAGACCUCAUCUCUACAAAAAAUUAAAACAUGAGCUGGGUAUGGUGGCAUAUGCCUGUAGUCCCAGCUACUCAGGAGGCUGAGGUGGGAGGAUUACUCGAGUCUGGGAGGUCAAUGCUGCAGUGAGCCGUGAUGACACCACUGCACUCCAGCCUGGAUGACAGAGUGAGACCCUGUCUCAACAACAAAACAAACAAGUGUGUUGGUGAAUAUUUGAAGAUAGUUUCUCAAACUAAAAGAUACCCAAAGAAAACCUUGGAAAUAUAAAAAGAAUGCAUGAAUUGAAAACAAAAAGCCAUAAUACAAGACUCUAAAGAUCUGGAAUGAAACCUAAUAAGAGACUGGUAGGUCAAAUGAGAGCAAAGCAUUUGAAUUUGACUGGAUUGUUUUCUCACUGGAAAUAGUGAUUCUAUGAGUUCACCAUUAACACAUUUUUUGACUGGAAAACUGCUAUAGGAUCCCAGGGAGGACUAAAUUUGAACAGAGGAAGUGGACAGUGUUGCAGUCUCUGUUCUAGCUCUUGCUUCUAGAAUAGGAGAGUUAAGAGCACCAAUUUGGGAUGAAGAAAGCAGAAAGCAAUUAUCGAUAUCAAUCAAGAGAGCAGAACAGCCUCUCUCCCUCCAUCCUCCCUCUGCCCUCUUCUCCCUUCCUCCUUCUCUGCUUUCCUUUCACUCUGUGUAUGUUAGCUUUGGCCCCAUUCCAUAAGCCGAGAUAAAAAUGCUAGGCAUGAUAAAUUUGUGACUGUUACUAACAUUUAGGAUUUUUUUUUUGAGAUGGAGUUUCACUCAUGUUGCCCAGGCUGGGUGCCAUGGCGCGAUCUCAGCUCACUGCAACCUCUGCCUUCCGGGUUCAAGCAAUUCUCCUGCCACAGCCUCGCAAGUAACUGGGACUACAGGCGCAUGCCACCAUGCCUGGCUAAUUUCUUUUGUAUUUUUAGCAGAGACAAGGUUUCACCGUGUUGGCCAGGAUGGUCUCGAUCUCCUGACCUUGCGAUCUGCCCACCUCAGUCUCCCAAAGCACUGGGAUUACAGGCGUGAGCCACCACACCUAGCACAUUUAGGACCGUUAUAUGGAAUUCUUCAUAUCUUCUAAGUUUUAAAAAAACAAAAUCUACCAAAUAUUAGAGAUUUAGUAGUUAAAUAAAAUCAUUAGGAAAGAGCAAAGACUUGCCCAGUUUUAGGUGGAGUAAAUUCUGGAACUUUUAAUACAAAGAUAGGCUGGGAAACUGCAAAGAUAACUUUGCGGUUCUUCUUGUAUGCAAAUCUGUGAUCAUGGAUGGAGAAGCCUGGAGGAGAAUCGGAAGGCAAGGUCAAACUUUAUGGGUUGUGAUCCAUUUGGUUCUUUCAGUAAGAAUCCACAAUUGAUAAAAUACUAGAGUUUGUGUUUCUUAGCUGAGAAUGCAGGCGCGAGGAAGUAAAAUGAUUUCUUCUCGUCAGUAGUAGAGCCACCUAACCCCAGUCUUCGGCCUCAAGCUCUUUCUGUGCUUUAUUAAAUCAGCUGCUUUUUAACAGAAAACCGACUUUGCACACCAGACUAUAAUGCAGGUCUUGCUUUGGGAAUAUUUACAUGGUAAUCUUAUAGUCACAUUAUACACUAAAUAAAUGUUAGCUGGGCCAUUUGUGUAGAAAUAUAACUUGUGCAAAAUAAAACCGUUAAUGUGUAAAACAC